CAGGAAGUGAGCAGCCUCCUCUUCCACACAGUCCCACUGUGAUAGACCGUGCCACCCUGGGAACCCUGAGCCAAACCAACCUCUCCUCUUUUUCAGUUAUUAUCUUAGGUAGCAGGAUGCUAAACUGUAAUGAAGUACGAGAAAAAGAAGUGGAAACUGAGUCAAACAUCGAAGCAAAUUAAAAGAAGUCACUACACAGAUCUCUACUAGGAAGUAAAUCAGAGAUAAAGCUGUGUGGAAGGUAUCUAUUUCCCAUAACAAUCACUUUGCCAACUAUUUUUCAGACUGAAGACAGUCCAGCCUACCAGCAACAAAGAGGAGUAAUGCUUUUCAUUUGGAUUCACUAGACCAGGCAGUGCUGAGAUAACUGCGGGUGUAAGGGCCUGCUCCCUUUUCCUCAGGGGACAGUUCUGUCGGGAUGCGUAGGCUACGCUGCCUCCUCCCAGGGACAGAUCACAGGUGGGGCGCCCCAGCCCGCCACGAGGACAGCUUGUCUCAGCUCGGCUGGACAGGUGGCUUCGGGAGGCUCAGCUUACCAGCAGCCACCCUGGGGCUUCUUGCUUAUGACUGAAUCUGCAGCCUCCUCUUCAACCCACAGUGCCCUGCGAAAGUCAGCACUGGCGGGUCACCAGGGGACGGGGUUGUGCCCUUGGCUUCCUCCUCAGGUCAUCAGUGCAUCCUCAGUGAUAUGGAAGGAAGAGCGGCACAGGGAGAAUAGGGAGCGGUGACUUCAGCCCUUGAGAUGCCAGGACACGGAGGGGUGAGGGGACCCUGUGCCCUGGCAUGGGGAGCGGAGCUGUGGCCCGGGCUGGGAACCACACGAUGGGGGGCGGGCAUCCUGGGCUGUGCUCCCACUACCAUCGCUCCCCAACAGGGAACGCUGCCUAGGCUCCAGGGUCCUUCCAGAAAGCCAUUCGCUGCUAACCUGUUUUUCAUUCCAUUAGUAUUCCUGAGUUCCACUCCCUAAGAAUCAGUUAGGGAAAAAAUAAAAUUCACACUCAUUGGCCCUCCGUGGUAAAUCCAUAUGUGUUUUUCCCGAGUCCUUUGGUUUUUUCUCUGCUGCUCUGGCUGCUGCCCUCAAAAGACUCAGCCUGGUUCUGGAGGAUGAUGACAGUGGCUUAGAGACGUGAAUAUCGGAAGGAGGCCACUCGGCUGACCAACUUGCAUAUCUGAAGGUGUAACAGCACGGCCCGCAGACUCUGAUGAGUGUAAUGAAUCUUGCCUGCUGAUGAUGCGGGAGGAAAAUGUGUUCCUGUGUGCGAAGAAUCGCCUGGUUCUCAUUACCCCCCGGAGGCAGAGCCUGCGGAGAAGCCAAGUUGGGCUGCAGAAUUCACUGAUGAAGGACAGGGACUGAAACGGCGCCACACCAUCCACCCUGGACUCCAGGGAAACCGUUCGCAGCCCGCUCCUCACCGACGCGCUCGCUCCGCAGGUUCCUUUCAUGGAAAGGCCCCACACAGGGGUGACUGGGCUGCAGCCCCGAUUGCCCGCUUUCUGAUUACCCCACUCCCAGACAGACCUACCGGCCGUAUCUGAACACACACAGAGCGCAGGACCCUGGACUCUAACCCGAAGGCCCGUUUCCUAGCUUUCUAUGUGUGACUCUGUAAUUGGGGAAAAGGUAAAACUUUUGUUUUAA